GUGGGGCACCAGCUGCAAGCCCUUGGCCCACUCAGACCUUAUUUAAGGCCCUGAGCCCUGGUGUGGGCUGUAGGAUGGUGCUGUGUAUGGCUUGAGGUGCUCAUGUUGGUCCAGAGGCCCAGCUGAAGCCAAGCCUGGCAGCAGCUGCUACGUAGACAGAAAGCACGCGGCGGAGCUGAUGCACGGUGCCUCCUGCUGAGGACGAGGCUAUUAAUGAACUGCGUAACCAGGCAGGAGGUUAUCCAUGGAAGAAGAAGAGGAGCAAUAUGUAAAUUUGCCAGAAAGCUUUUUAAAGUCACUUUUAUUAAGAAAAAUGUGCAAGCGUGCAUCCCUCAAGACAUUGAAUGAGUGUCCCUAAAAAGGGAUUUACCAGGGUUGCUGGUGGUGAGAUUCUCUCCGGGAAACUACCAUGUUCUCCCUCCUCGUAAAUGCUCUGUUUUCAUCCAUUUCACGUUCGUGUUUUUAAGUCAUGAUAUUUUUCAGUCAAGGCUAUGUGUUGAUGGCAUACUUGUCCUGGAAGGUGGCAGACCCUACUGAUCAGUGACACAGGCAGCAAAGCUGGCUCCAGCCUUCCCUGACAUCCAGACGCAGGAGCUGAGAGAAAUGCUGUGUCUCUGGAGAUGAAGGAUCCCUGCCGAGUGACAUUUUCUCUGCCUGAUGUAUUGCUCUGCACCUGUUGCCAGGCGAUGAGGUGCGAGCCUGCCAGCCGUGCUGCGCCCGAGGAGCGAGCCCGAUGGCACCCGCUCGGCUGCCGUGCCCUCCUGGGGACGGGGCAGCGCUUCCAGGGACGAGCUGCUGGAACAAGAGCCAGGCCAAUUCUGCCACUCGAUGCUCUGCGGCCAUCACAUCCAAGCCCCACUGUGUGCUGCCCACUCUGGAAGCAUUGGGCACGUUCCCCUGCAGCCUGAGUGCCAGCUGAGGCUGAGCGAGAGGUGCUCAAGAGGUAGAAAUUUAACCGUGUUAAUUUAGAUAAUAUUUAAAAAAAAAAAAAAAAGUAAAAAGUAAGCACCAGGAUAUGUUUAUAGCCUGGUUAAAACUGCAUUGUGCAGCCCUAUAGCAAUGCUGUGCUGGAGGUCUGUGGUUGCUCUAACAGGUCCUGUGGUCCCAGCCACUGCAGGGGAAUGCCACGAUGGCAGUCGCAGAGAUGUGUUUAAUUGUUUUCUGGAUUCCUCAGUCUGGUCAAUUUAGUGGCUUGAAGAAGACAAAAGAGUCUUAUCCCUGUAAAUAAACCUCUGCACACCCAUUUGUAAACAAACACAUAAAUCCAGGUUUAGCAACAUGGUUAAUGCUGUUGGAAGUUCUCAGCAACUCCCUCCUCGAUGAACUGUGAGUUUCAAAACCAUGGUGCAAAAAAAGGUCUUGCAGCUGCAAUGGUAUCAAGAUGAGCCCAAGCUUCGUUAGAACGAAUGCCAUUUGUUUAAAAAUAGAAAUAUUAUGCCAUCUUCCAGCAGCAGAAAUGAAAAAAGCUAUUAAAGGAUUAUGAUUCUGUGACUUCAGACCUAUUGUAGUCUUAAUAUUUCAUGGUGCAUUGACAUAGAGUACAUAAUAUGCUGAACAGCACUGUUGGCUUCAGCUGUUGCAAACAGUAUGGUGCAGAAAUAAUUGAACUAAAAAGAAAUUACAGCCAUUCAGAGAGGUAGCAACUCUGCUCUGUAGAUGUGAGAUUGUAGGUGCUGAGCCAAACAUGCACUUAAAAAAAAUAAUUGUUUUUGAUGGAAAAAAUGUAGGUAGAUUCUGCUUUCACUGGCAUGGUCGUUUAUGGUAGGACCAAGUAGGAGUCAGAUGCUGCACUGCUCUGCCCGUGGAGGGAGAUCUGAUUUGUCAGCAGUAUAUAAAGGCAAAGAGUAUGGAAUAUGAGGCCUUAUCUAUACAGCGAAUGACAUUCAUUUAAGGAACGCUGGUGUGAAUCUCUGUUUAUGCUUUUAAGUCUCAGAUGUAUCAUCCAGUUACUGCAGCUUAACAAGUCGCUGUUUGUCAGCUGUGCUGUUAAGUAACUGUGUACGCACCCUUAACCCAGUGUAGAUAUGACAUAAACCAUGUCAGAUGACAUCUUUCAUCUGGUUUUAUUCAGUUCAUUUCGCUUAAACUAGUUCCUAGUCCUUAAACAAAACCCAAACAGGGCAGUUUCCGUCAAAAUAGCUGUCUGGACAGAUUCUUCUUGUAUCUUAACCAAGCCAUAUUUUAAGUCAAACUGGGUAAACAUGUGUAGGCGAUUCCUUGGACUCAGAUAUUGCACAUCAGCAGAAAAAUCUUCUCCUGCAGUUCUGUGUGACUGCUUUGGUAAAACGUGGGACUGCAGAGGUGGAAGGGAGAAAGCGACCGGGAGGGGAUGCCAAGCAAAGGCAUCAGGAGCCAGCUGGGGUGCUGCCCCAGGCACCUCAGGCAUAUGGCCAGACUGGGUUUCUGUACCGCAGCAACUAUAUAUUUUCAGCUCAGCCUUUUGUUCUCCCCCAGCUGCCCAUCCUAUGCAUGAUCCCUUCCAACAGGGGAAGAUUUUACUCAAGGGAUGUUUGGCUACUAAACCUUCUCUUGUCUGACUGAGGUUUGCCCAGAAGCAAUGUAAACAGCCAGUUAAUUUUCAUUGUUGUCCCCUCACCCCCAAUCAAAAACACACAGUUUUGAUUCCUGUAUCGUGUACAUGUCAUCCGUUCAGAGGAAUAUCUAUCAUUUGGGGAUUUUGAUGCCUAUGACCAGUAAAUCAGAGGGUCCUGCCCUUGCUAGCAAGACAUUUUAACAAGCUUUUAGGGAGCUUGUGUGUGAGAGAGAGAAUUGAGAAGCAGCCUGUUUUUUUUUUGCCUUCUGAAUUCCUUUGACUGCCAGUGGCAAAUGUGUUAUCUUUUUAAAUACCCUACUUUUUAAUUUGUUAUUACUGUUGUGUUUAAUAUAAAUUGCUCUGUUUUGUUUUUAUCUAAAUGACAUCAGAAUCUGGGAGGGAGGAAGCAAUGGCUUGUGAGAGGUUAGGACCUUUGAUUUUCUCCUUGCAGCUGUCAGAAGUCUUCCGUCUCUGGCUACAUACUCUGAGCAGAGGUAUAAUCAUCAAUCUGGAGACAUCUAAUUAGGCUCACUCCUCCCAGCCUGCCUGCUGCGGCGUGAAAGCCUUCGCCUGGCAGAGCUCUCAGGCUGACAAACAGGCGCUUCUGCGCUCGCAAGAGACCCCAGUGGUAGCGGGGUGCUACCAGCUGGAGCCUUUUGUAGCAAUAUUCCCCAAUUUUUCAGAGCUGCACCCCUUGCUGUGCAGCCGAGCUGCCCGGUGUUGCUGAGGGCAAAGGGGAGGAAUGGCCAAGUGCAGUGACAGAGGGGUGCCAGGCUCGCCGCCUCCUGUCAUCAUGGUGACAGCGUGAGGACUGCUCCAGCAGUUAGGGGUUUUCACCCAGGAAAUGACCGAAAGACCACUGAAUGAGAAGCGCUCUCAGGUUUGGAAGGGAAGGGGACUAAAGACACUAAGACAUAUACCCAGGGGCUUUGGGGGCACCUGCCCUAGCCAAACCUUUCCUCAUUUCCUGGUGCUGCUCCGUUACCCAGCCCGAUCAGCAGUGCCCUGCCAGCCAGCUCACACGCGCGGUGUUCUGGCUGUCACACAGUUUUGCCUUGAGUCACAUCCUUCAUUUUAAGGUAUUUUGACCGCCUGGUUCCUCAUCACCUCCCGCAGCCGUUCCUGCCCUGACAGCAGCUAGCUCUGUGCCUCUUGCUUGGCUUCCCUGUCCGCCUCCGGAGCGGCGGGGACUGACUGCUGGUGGAUCGGUGUUUUGGAUUAGCUGGACCUCAGGUCUGAUCCAGGUCUGGCACUCGCUGCAUUCCUCUAUAUCUUUGAGCUGUUAACUGCUGAGCUGCCUGUCACUCACACGGUGACGUGCCUGUCACUCAUGUACUUACCGUCUGUGUGACAAGAAACGUGACCGAGUCAGGCUCCCAGGAGGAGGCUGAAAAAAGGGAGGGAGGAGAGGCAGGCAGAGGCUCCUCUGGUGCCCGAUCUCCAGGAACACAAUGUUGUUUAAGAAAUAGAAGAAGGAAAGAAAAAAAGCCAUUUUUGAUCAUUUCAUUUUAAGCAAGAAAUAAAAGAGGAAGAAAUGUUCCAGCAGUAUUGAAAAGUUUCAACAGUACUGGAUUACAGCAUGGCAAUAUUUCAUUUGGAAAUAGAUUUUUUCACUUGAAAUUUGUUAAAUGGUGUAUGUCAACUAGGAAACUCCAAUGUUUUGAUCGCUGGAAAGCAUCUGUUGGAAGGGUAACUUUUUUCCACAAAGAAUUUGGAAAUACCUCAUUUCCAACUUGUAACAAAGACAAAUUUCAGCAUGGGAGAAUUGCUCUCAGUGUCCGUCCUAUGCUCACAAGUAUUAACACAGUGCGUGCUGAGGGCAGGUGUUUUUACCCCCCUCACACCUUGAGCGAUGUGAAAUCAGGUUGAAUGGUUCUGGUCCCUCCACAACCUGGUGAGAUUCCAU